GAGCUGGCUGGGACACCCAGAGGAGGACUCCAUGGAGGGAAGCAAGCCAAAGCCUGCCAUUACCACCCUGGCUUUUGGUAGCUGUCUUUGGGAGGCAGAAGAGUCAAGAAACUUCCCUGCUGCCCCAGAGACAUGUGUGCCACCAGGAGAGCACACUCAGAUGGUACAGAAUCCAAGGACUAUGUGUCACAUGCAGAGAAAUUGGUACCAAAGUUUGAGUGAGAGGCUGGAGAUGUGAUGGGGAAGAAUGCUAUUGGGUAUCUGAUGACGAUAAUAAAGAUGAUGGUGAUGACUUUGAUGUGGACCAAGUGAGCCAAAGUUCCUGCAACAGUGACAUGGAGCAAGAAUUGACUGAUACAGACAGAGAAUGCAGACCUACUUGAUUCAGAUGACAAAGAAAACAGCAAUGUGAGUACAUAUUUCACUAGUCAAAAUAUUGUAAAAUGACCAUGCAACCA
rnacentral:lncRNA from 1 species